rnacentral:lncRNA from 1 species
AAAUGGGUUUUCAUUUCUCUCCUCAUCUAAUGAUGGGUUUCGAGUAUCCCGUGAAAAUCCAGCUAGAUUCCGUCAGGGUUUGCUGAUCUUUUCAUGUUUUGUGUUGGAUUUCAGAUGAUUAUGGCGGCGAUCGAGGCUCUGAACGACAAGGGCGGCUCCAACAAGUCCUCUAUCUCCAAGUACAUCGAGUCGACGUACGGAGAUCUGCCGGCGGCUCACUCCACCCUGCUGGCGCACCACCUCAACAAGAUGAAACAGAGCGGCGACCUCGUUAUGGUCAAGAACAACUACAUGAAGCCCGACCCUAACGCGCCGCCGCGGAGGGGUCGCGGCCGUCCUCCCAAGCCCAAGGUUCCU